ensembl:lncRNA
GCGGUGCCAACCAGGCCAACUCUCAGCCCACCGAUAUGGACCGGGGGUUGAGUGACAUCCGCUCCAUCACCACGGGAUGACUCCAUGCCGUUGUUUCGUCCCUGCCGGUCAACCAAUCACAGUGUGAAGAUGGAUUUAGGAAGAGAGUUGAGAGAGAGAGAUGAUGGCUUCCUUGAAUCUGGGUCGCUGCAAAUCACCUUUUGCCAAUGUGAUCCUUUGGGGAUGAAAGGUGACCCACCCUGAUCAAAUCGACUUCAUGUCCAACCGUUACAUUGGUUUUCUGAGAAAUCUGUGUUCAAACCGCCCGAAUCCGGCCCUCUGACAGAGAGGCCCGGAACAGAUGAGGAGAUGACCGUCUAGGUGAGGAGGACGAGGAGGAGGAGGAGGAGAACCCCCUCGGUGCAGCGGGAACCAAUCGCGGGCGUUUGUCUCUCAG